UUCGCUUUCUAUUAGGUGUGUAUAUAUAGUCUCAAAAUUACAUGUAUUUGUAAUGGCGAGUAAUAUUUAUACUAUCCUGUAGGAAAACUCGGGCGACCGCUGUAAUAUUUCUCUUUAAAACAGAGGAAGAUUGCGGCAAUAACAGGUCUGUGAUGCCCUCAGAUGUCCCGGGCCGCACACGUGCUACAUUGAUUAGCGCAGUGCGCAUACUUUCAAUAUGAUACAUUAGAUUGGAUUGUUCUGUUGAGCUCCAUCUAAUACUAUCCGGCUUGAGAAGGCUGGGUAAUCAAUUGUAAGUGCUGGUUCCUCCUCCCGUUGAGCAUUUUAAUAAUGGCCUCUCUACAUCCCUAGCAAUAUGCCUAGUGCGAUUGUAGUUGAGCCUUGCCAUUUAUGCAAGUGUCAAUUCUCAGUGGGGACAGACAUUUGAUAAUUCUUUGUCUCGUUCUUAACUAGGAAUGCCUUGUACGGGUCUUGGUUCAACAGACCACCCGGAAUACGUCCCUGCCCUUUGUACACACCGCCCGUCGCUCUUACCGAUGAAUUUCCCUGUGAGUUUGAAGGACUGAUGGUUGCAAAAUCAUUGGAAAUUCUGUC
rnacentral:rRNA from 1 species